rnacentral:rRNA from 1 species
AAGAGUUUGAUCAUGGCUCAGAUUGAACGCUGGCGGCAGGCCUAACACAUGCAAGUCGAACGGUAACAGGAAGCAGCUUGCUGCUUUGCUGACGAGUGGCGGACGGGUGAGUAAUGUCUGGGAAACUGCCUGAUGGAGGGGGAUAACUACUGGAAACGGUAGCUAAUACCGCAUAACGUCGCAAGACCAAAGAGGGGGACCUUCGGGCCUCUUGCCAUCGGAUGUGCCCAGAUGGGAUUAGCUAGUAGGUGGGGUAACGGCUCACCUAGGCGACGAUCCCUAGCUGGUCUGAGAGGAUGACCAGCCACACUGGAACUGAGACACGGUCCAGACUCCUACGGGAGGCAGCAGUGGGGAAUAUUGCACAAUGGGCGCAAGCCUGAUGCAGCCAUGCCGCGUGUAUGAAGAAGGCCUUCGGGUUGUAAAGUACUUUCAGCGGGGAGGAAGGGAGUAAAGUUAAUACCUUUGCUCAUUGACGUUACCCGCAGAAGAAGCACCGGCUAACUCCGUGCCAGCAGCCGCGGUAAUACGGAGGGUGCAAGCGUUAAUCGGAAUUACUGGGCGUAAAGCGCACGCAGGCGGUUUGUUAAGUCAGAUGUGAAAUCCCCGGGCUCAACCUGGGAACUGCAUCUGAUACUGGCAAGCUUGAGUCUCGUAGAGGGGGGUAGAAUUCCAGGUGUAGCGGUGAAAUGCGUAGAGAUCUGGAGGAAUACCGGUGGCGAAGGCGGCCCCCUGGACGAAGACUGACGCUCAGGUGCGAAAGCGUGGGGAGCAAACAGGAUUAGAUACCCUGGUAGUCCACGCCGUAAACGAUGUCGACUUGGAGGUUGUGCCCUUGAGGCGUGGCUUCCGGAGCUAACGCGUUAAGUCGACCGCCUGGGGAGUACGGCCGCAAGGUUAAAACUCAAAUGAAUUGACGGGGGCCCGCACAAGCGGUGGAGCAUGUGGUUUAAUUCGAUGCAACGCGAAGAACCUUACCUGGUCUUGACAUCCACGGAAGUUUUCAGAGAUGAGAAUGUGCCUUCGGGAACCGUGAGACAGGUGCUGCAUGGCUGUCGUCAGCUCGUGUUGUGAAAUGUUGGGUUAAGUCCCGCAACGAGCGCAACCCUUAUCCUUUGUUGCCAGCGGUCCGGCCGGGAACUCAAAGGAGACUGCCAGUGAUAAACUGGAGGAAGGUGGGGAUGACGUCAAGUCAUCAUGGCCCUUACGACCAGGGCUACACACGUGCUACAAUGGCGCAUACAAAGAGAAGCGACCUCGCGAGAGCAAGCGGACCUCAUAAAGUGCGUCGUAGUCCGGAUUGGAGUCUGCAACUCGACUCCAUGAAGUCGGAAUCGCUAGUAAUCGUGGAUCAGAAUGCCACGGUGAAUACGUUCCCGGGCCUUGUACACACCGCCCGUCACACCAUGGGAGUGGGUUGCAAAAGAAGUAGGUAGCUUAACCUUCGGGAGGGCGCUUACCACUUUGUGAUUCAUGACUGGGGUGAAGUCGUAACAAGGUAACCGUAGGGGAACCUGCGGUUGGAUCACCUCCUU